rnacentral:tRNA from 1 species
GGAGGGAUGACCGAACGGCAAGGGGCUAGACUUGAAAUCUAGUGAAGGCGAAAGCCGUCUGGGUUCGAAUCCCAGUCCCUCCGCCA